CUCAUUCUUAGAGUGUUCCUAAUAUAGGACAAACAAAAAUCUUAAUAGUUUCUAUUCCUCUUUAAGCGAAGAAGACUGGCAUCAUAUGAAGAACCAUCUGCACUGCUUCACUAUUAAGGAGUCUCUCUCCGGCACUAACAGAGUCUCCCUGCAGCCCCUAUAAAAUGGCCGUUCUUUCACUUCGUCAGACUGCAGCCGCUGCAAGCAGUAUCCCAGCCGAGGCUGACAGCCGUCUCUCGCUCCUCAGCUCAACUCCCCCAGCCCAAGGGACACGGUGAGGCCCCGCUCCACCACCCCCGCCACCACCGGUGGCUCCAGAGGCACAGGGUGCAUCCAGCAGCCCCACGGGCUGAUAAGGCAGCACGCCUCUGUGCACGUAAUCAGGGGAGAAGUUGGGGCUAGAAAACAACAACACGCCUGAACAAGGCUUGAAGAUAGUGUUAUUGCUGCUAAUAAAAUACUUACUAGUCUUUAUGGGGGGAAAAAAUUUUUU